ensembl:misc_RNA Y_RNA Y RNA
GGCUGGUCCCAGUGUAGUGGUGUUUACAACUAAUUGAUCACAACCAGUUGCGGAUUUCUUUGUUCCUUCUCCACUCCUACUCCUUCAAUUGACUAGCCUUAA